CCGGACCGGCGCGACGGUGAGUACGCGUAUGUAACUUACCUAUCAGGAGGGGACGUACCGGCGAAAGUCGGACUAAUACCGCAUGAAGCAGGGGUCCCGCAUGGGGAUAUUUGCUAAAGAUUCAUCGCUGAUAGAUAGGCAUGCGUUCCAUUAGGCAGUUGGCGGGGUAACGGCCCACCAAACCGACGAUGGAUAGGGGUUCUGAGAGGAAGGUCCCCCACAUUGGUACUGAGACACGGACCAA
rnacentral:rRNA from 1 species